UGAUGAUUGAAGUAUGUUUAUUGUAAGGGCAGAAAUGUGUUGGCAUUUGGAUAAAAAACUGCUAACAUUAUAGAACUUAUUACCUAACAAAAUUUCACACCACAAAAAAUAUUUUAAUGGCAAAUUCAAGGUGUUUUAUUGCUUACAAAUCAGCAUCUUUGACUCUUUGAACAUCAAUUUGUGUUUACAUUGAAAUGACAAAAAGACAAACUAAGAAGAAAUACAGCAUGCAAGUUGGAAUUCAGAGUUAAAACCAUGAUGUUGCCGCUCAGCCAGCUAUGUGACUGUUGACCCUUUCAAGAACACACAUGGAUUUAAAAGUUGGAUGACAUCCAUUGUUGGGGCCUUGGGGGAUAUGGUAAAGCAUGAAAACUAAACAGCCAGGAGCCUGUGAAAUCUGCUACUGUAUUUUCCAGGACUUCAUUCCACUCCUUGGCUAAAAAAAUCUUGGAAGUUUCACAGAUUAUGAUGUGGACCUGUCACCUGUAAAUUGUCUCAAUCUACUCAGACAAGACACUAAACUGUCUUUGGAUACUAUAGAUGUCAGUGCUUAUAGCAGCUGGAAUUUGGCUAGUGACAAUGUUUAAAGAUGUAAUACUAGUUAGUAUCUAUUGAAGCUUAAACUUUGCUGGUCAGGUUGUAGCUAUUGUAAAAGUAUUUAUUGAAGAAGCUCACAGUCCUUCAGUUGUACAGACUGAAAAACUUUCAUGAAAGAUCCAACAUACUAAUGUAAAUUAUAUUUAUUACAAUGUAUGAUAUUAAUGUGUCAAACUGGUGUAUUUUACAAAAUAUAUAAUGCAUACAUAAAUAAGAGUUGUAUAUUACAGUGCUUUUCAAAUAUCAGUGUCUUGGAAUAUUUAAGUCUUCACAUUUUUUGGUCUAAAAUAUGAAAAUGUUUCAUGAUACAAGUGAUUAAUUUUCCCUAGUAGUGCUUUUGCAUGUUUGCCUUUUUAUUUAAGUUUUUUUCUAUAUAGACACAAUUUGGUGUCAGACUAUCAUAAGAUCGAUAGUGAAUAUAAAAUAUCUUAGCCAAAUGGGGUCUGUAUUGUCUACAUUUUAUAUAUUAAAUAAAAGUUUUUGUUGUCUUUUCAGGAGGUUUAGAGUAUUGUCACUAAAUAUGAUCAAAGCUUCCCUUUCCAAAUGCAAAAGUCUUGUCCUACAUUUAAAGUUGAUCUGUCAUGUUUUAGCAGUCAAGUGGGAUGGGCAUUAUAUAAACAACGUUACAAUGUAAGGAAAAUCUUUAAGGAGAUGGGGAGAGAAAAAGGCAGCUGGUAUAAUCGGUUACUGCUGCUUAGUUCUACUUAAUUUUUUGUGUUGCUUCUUCUUAAGGUGAGAUAGCAUAAUCUUAACUGUUUUGAGAUGGAAUUUUAAAGUAACACACUACCAGCGAGUUCAACACUGCUAUUGAUUUUAAUCUGUUUUUUUUUGUUUAGUUGAUAACUUAAAUUCCAAGUUUCAUAGUGAUAAUUGUAUAUUAUUUGGCUGCUGAAUUCUGUUAGAGUUUUUUAUUCUGUUGUACAUUGUAUUAUACACAUAAUCACAAAUUAAUAUGAAGGUGAAUAUAUGUUACAUAUCAAAAUUUGUGAAUUUGAAUUAUAGUAUGUUUUAGUGCUAUUGCAAAAAAUGUUUAUUUUUAUAUUAUCUGUGAUUUUAAUAUAGAUGAUUGAACUAGAUUUCUUUUUGAGUGAUAGUGCCAUUGAAUGAGCAGUAUGGAAACAGUGUUACUUGAUAUUUUGAGCUUUCUCAGGUUUAUCUAAAUCAGUGGUAGCUUAACAAAACCCAGACUAAUUGUGUGUAAUUGUAUUUUUAAUAAAAGGAAAGUACAUUUCCUAUAAUAGCAUAGUACUGUUUGCAUGUAAGAGUAUGCAAAACCUUGUGUGUGUGUGUGUGUGUGUGUGUGUGUGUGUGUCUUAGUGUGUGUAAGGCAUGGCAGCCAACUUUGUAUCUGCUAUUUUUAGUACGAGCAGAGCUUCAUAAUUGUGGUCACUAGAACUGUACUUACCAUGGACAGUUAAAACUGAAAAAGACUCAAUAAAACUAUGAAACAUGG
rnacentral:lncRNA from 1 species